UAGAUCUGGGGUUGAGCUAGGGAAUUUGCAUGACUAACAAGGUCUCAGGUGAGGCUGAUGCUGCUGUCCCAGGAACCACACUUUGACAACCACUGCUAUGGUAGGUGGUGUUGGUGCUCUGCCCAGAUGCCUUUUACCAAGUCAUUACACUCAUCCGUCAGCUGCUGUGAGUGUUGGCUGCUAAUGGCUCACAGAUACACUCUUUCCUGAGAAUGUGCCCUCUUGAUAUUAUGUCCUCCACCUGAGGGUGGCCCACAGCCAAUGACUGAUAGAUUUGAAAUUCCAAAGCCUGCUCCCUUGCUGCAAGGUGGGGCAGUCUACUUCUCUGGUGCCAGUCAUGCUCCAGAGCUCCCUAUGGGAUCAGGCUGAGGCUAGACUUCAGCUGAAGCCAUGUGUUUAAUUUUUCCCUCUGCCUGCUCUUGCUUCUCUCACUUCCUUAGAAGUUCCUCCUGAGACCACUCCCUCAAGAAAUCACUCUUCAAAGAAUCCUUGUCUGAGGCUCUGCUUCUAGAGAACCUGGCCCGGAGCAGUCCCCUUCUGGGUCUUUUCUGAUUAUGAGUCUUCUUUAGUGGGGCUUGUUAUCUGCUGAAACAUAGUGUGUGAUGAGGAGUCAGUGGGGGCAAUCUGCAAUUUUCAUUGAUAUUUGCUGUCUUGAAUAGCUUAUUAUUAAGUAAAUUCCUUCCUCUGGGCUGGGGCUCACAGAAAUCCCCAUCAGUUACACUUCCUUUGCUUUGGAUGCUUUUUCACCUUGUGCUGUGGAUUGAAUUGUGCCCCUGUCACCUCCAAAAUUCAUAUGUGGAAGCUUUAACCUUCAGUGGUCCUUUUAUUUGGAGACAGGGCCUAUACAGAGGUAAUGAAAGUUAGAUGAAGUCAUAAGGGUGUGGCUUUGAUAUGACAGGAAUGGUGUCCCUUAAGAGACACUAGAGAGUGAACUCUCUGCACCCACAUGAAGAAGAUGUCAUGUGAGUACACAGCAAGAUGGCAGCUACUUACACUGCAGGAAGAAAGAGUUCACCAGAAACUGCCAGCAUCCUGAUCUCAGACUUCGAGUCUCCAGAGCGGUCUCAAUUCAUACUUCCCAUGGCACCUGUUGCCUUUCCGGGGUUCUGUGUGACAAAGCAGCUUGCUUCUCGUUGAUAUGCUCCUUGUACAGCUAGACAGGAAAUGUAGAGUCAAAGGAAUAUUAUCUACUCCUUCAUGCUCAGAACAAUGCUGGUGAAACACAUACCUUUUUCAAUCCAUUGCUCAAAAUCAACUGGCUCUUCAGAUGUGCUCUUUUCAAUCUUCAAGGUCCGUACUGACAUUGUAA